GACGAACGCUGGCGGCGUGCUUAACACAUGCAAGUCGAACGAUGAAGAAGAGAAACGCGAACUUCGGUUCAAAUUUCACUUCGGAUUAGUGGCAGACGGGUGAGUAACGCGUGAGCAACCUACCUCUUACAAAGGGAUAGCCUCGGGAAACCGUGAUUAAUACCAUAUGACACAUUCAUAAGGCAUCUUAAGAAUGUUAAAGCUACGGCGGUAAGAGAUGGGCUCGCGUCCCAUUAGCUAGUUGGUGAGGUAACGGCCAACCAAGGCGACGAUGGGUAACCGGCCUGAGAGGGUGCACGGUCACAUUGGAACUGAGACACGGUCCAAACUCCUACGGGAGGCAGCAGUGGGGAAUAUUGCACGAUGAAGGGUACUCUGAUGCAGCGACGCCGCGUGAGCGAUGAAGGAAUUCGUAUCGUAAAGCUCUGUUCUAUGGGAAGAAAAUGACGGUACCAGAGGAGAAAGCCCCGGCUAAAUACGUG
rnacentral:rRNA from 1 species